rnacentral:lncRNA from 1 species
GUCCUGUCUGUCCAGAUAGAAACCUGUUGCUGUGCGCACGUGAUUGGAACACAUCACCCCAAGGACAAAAACUAAUUGCAUCCCUGGUUCCCAUGACAUCCAGAGACAGAAUCAAAACCAUCAGAAACCAGCCCAGGACCAUGCAAGAGAAGAGGGAGCUUAGGUACGGCCAUUGUUCUUACUUGGGAGCCUCAGUCUACUGCAAUUGUCCUGUCUCAGAAAGAUGAGAAAGGCAUAAUGCAGGAGACAGUUCUUCUGCAAGGAAAACCUUUAUGGAGUGGGACCCCCAACUCUCUUCAAUGCUCCCCACAGGCACUUAUAAUGUAGCUUUAGCUGUCCUCAAAUUCAGGCUCCUUCUGCACCAGCCUGCUGAGUGCUGAAAUAAAGGUGUGUAUCAC